AAGGGCACCACAAGAACGCGUGGAGCAUGUGGCUUAAUUUGACCCAACGCGGGAAAACUUACCGGGUCCGGACACACUGAGGAUUGACAGGCGAGAAGUGUUAUUAUUAUUAUAAUACUUCGUUACAUAUGUAAGUCCUUUCAUGAUUGUGUGAUAGGUGGUGCAUGGCCGUUCUUAGUUCGUGGAGCGAUCUGUCUGCUUAAUUGCGUUUCAGAUAUAUAAAGGUAAGUUACAAAUUUUGCAAGGUGUGUUGGUUGUUAGUUCAGCCUUCCACUGAGCAGACUGCCUUUUGAAAGCAACGAACGUGACCG
rnacentral:rRNA from 1 species